GUUUAAGUAAGUUAUUGGCCAAUGAUAUUUUAUAUUAAUAGAAUGUUUCGGCAUUUAAAAAUUUUAUUAUGUCUUGAAAGACUUCGUUCUUAUUCAAUACAUUUCAAAAUUCUAUUAUUUUAACCUACUACAUUUUAGUAUUGUAUUCUUCCAAUCACAUAAUGCCAAAAUAUUUUAUUAUAUAAAUCAUGUUAAUAACUGUAACAACUUUAAUAAACUUGUAAUAAAACUGCCCCUUCUACCUUUUCAUUGGUAAAAUACCAAGUUAUUUUAGUUUUGGUAGAAGCUUAUGAUUUUGCCUUCAUACCUUGGAGUCUCUUAAUAAUCGUUAAGUUAAAUGUGAAUGUCAUAUGAAGCAAUACAAAUAUUGUGACCCAAAAGAAUUAGAAGUACAACAGUUUUGUAUAUAAAGAAGUAGAAGGCUAAAACAAAUCAAAUUUUGAACAAGGUAGUAUGGUUUCUUUUCUCUCUUUGGUAAUUGUCAGAUCGGCUUAUUGGAGACAUUUUCAAUGUACUUUCCUUUUUUAUUGCAAUAUCCCUUUCUCUGUGGUUAACUUCAAUAUUUAAUAAAGAAAUAGCCAGUCUUUAAAUGAAGUAAAUGAUCAUAUUUAAAAAGAUAUUGUCAUAAACAAUGAAAGUAUAUUGAAAAAAUCUUCAAUACGUUGACUCACAUUUAUCAUGGACCAAAUUAAGAAAAGAAUCAAAAAUAUUCAACCAUAAGCCAAAAUUUGAUAUGUAUUUUCUUACAUUUCAUUAUAUUAAAAUUGUUGUAGAAUUUAACUUUUUCCUUGGAAGCUAAAAUCGGUGUAUUGGUGAUUUUUUCAAUAUACUUUCUUCGUUUAUUACCAUAUCAUUUUCUUUGUGAUCAAGUUCCUUCCUUACCAUAUCAGUUUUGGAUCUUGUAAGCAGAUGAAGUUGGCCACAAUGAAAAAUAUAUAGCAAUAAAAGCAGAAAGUCCUUAGAAAGAUUCUUCAAAUACGCUAAUUUUAGUUUCUAAGGAGAAAGUUUAUAAAAAGGUCUUCCAAAUAAAAGGUCAAAAGAAGACAAACGUCAUUCAGAGUUCUCAUCAAAUAGAAGGAUCAAGAGAAGAAAAUCAAGAAAAAUCCUUUUCAAAUAUUUGUAUCUAAAAUUAUGACGAACCUCUUAAAACACUGUUACUCCAUGUUGCUGAAAUUGUAUUCAAUAGAAUUCAAUCCAUUCAUUAUAUUAAAAAUGUCCCCAUAAUUAAAAUAAAUUUUUAAAUUACU